UACGAAGGGGGCUAGCGUUGCUCGGAAUCACUGGGCGUAAAGGGUGCGUAGGCGGCGCGGUAAGUCGGGUGUGAAAUCUCGGAGCUUAACUCCGAAACUGCAUUCGAUACUGCCGUGCUUGAGGACUGGAGAGGAGAACGGAAUUCCUGGUGUAGCGGUGAAAUGCGCAGAUAUCAGGAGGAACACCGGUGGCGAAGGCGGUUCUCUGGGCAUUACCUGACGCUGAGGAGCGAAAGUGUGGGGAUCAAACAGG
rnacentral:rRNA from 1 species